rnacentral:rRNA from 1 species
GACGAACCGAGCGAACGUUGUUCGGAAUCACUGGGCUUAAAGGGCGCGUAGGCGGGCUGUCAAGUCUGGGGUGAAAUCCCGCGGCUCAACCGCGGAACUGCCUCAGAUACUGACGGUCUCGAGGGGGGUAGGGGCAACUGGAAUUCUCGGUGUAGCGGUGAAAUGCGUAGAUAUCGAGAGGAACACCUGCGGCGAAGGCGGGUUGCUGGGCUGACACUGACGCUGAGGCGCGAAAGCCAGGGGAGCGAACGGG